rnacentral:lncRNA from 1 species
CCAGACAGAGACGAAAGUCUCCUUUCGGGGGCAAGCUUCGGCAGCCGAAGGCUGCCUCCACAAGCACGUUCGGCGGCCGAAAGUUCCUUCGGCUGCCGAACCUGGUUUCGCCCAGAAUGGCAGAAACUCAGCUCCCCUAUGCAUUUAUGCCUCCAAUCUCAUCCAAACAUGCAUAAACCUAUUCUACAACAUUCCCAAACAUACACAAGCAAACAUACAAGUUCC